AGAAAAACAAAAAAAGAAAAAAAGAAACAAUAGACCCACCAGCAAAAUUUAUUCUAUAUGACCCGUCAUUCAAUUAAUAAUUAGUGAAAGCACCUGUGCGUUGCCAUGUAUCAAUUUUGUAGAAAUAAAUAAAUAAAAGAGAAAAGAAAAUAAUAAAAACAUAAGAAACAUAAAAAAAAAUCAAAGAAUAUAAAAAUAAUAAAAGUAGAAGAAGAAGAAGAAGCUGCAAUAAAAGUAUAAGCAUAAAAUUAUAAGAAGGUUAAAGAAGAAUAAAAGAAAAAAUUAUAAAAAUAAUAAAUUAUUUUUAUAAUAGCAAUAAAAGUAUAAGAAGAAUAAAGAGAGAAACUUUUUUUAAAAAAAAGAACCAACAUGUGAGCAAUAACAAUAUAUAAUAAAGUCAUUAGGAGAAAAAAAAAAACAAUGAAUAUUUUAAUAAAUAAAAACAUGUAUUUGCGAUUUUAUUUUAUUGUCCAUUUGUCACUGCUAUUUUUAAGAUGACCGUAAAGAAAGAAAGUGAGAGUAGGGGUAAACCUCCUAACUGGAAGUAUAUGAGUUUUUAUAAAUAUAGCAAUUAAUUAUAGGGAUGUGUGUACGAAUAUUCGACAUUUUAUUCGAAUCUGAAUCUGAAGAGAGCGAAUUUAUUCAAUAUUAAAUAGAUAUGGUUUUAUUUUGGAUAUGGAUGUCAAAAUAAAAAUCCGACAGAUAUGGAUACAGAUAUGGAUUUUGCUUGUACCGAACCUGAACCUAACCUGAACCCGAAGCUGAAUUUAUUUUACAUUAUAUAUAAUAUGUAUAUGAAAAUUUGGUGUUAUAUUUGAAUUUGUGUUUUAAAAUUUUAGAUUUAAUAUAACAUAUUUUUAAAUAUUGAAAAGAGAAAUAAUUGUUUCGGAUUCGAAUUUUCGGGUUUAGGUUCGGAUUUCGAGCUUUUGGUUGGAUUCGAGUUUGGCUGUUUGGGAUAUGGAUUUUUAAAAUCCAUCGGAUUCGGGUCCGGGUUCGGUUUCGAAUUUGGGGUCGGGUUCGGGUUUGAAUUUUUAAAAAUCUACCCUAAAUCUGACCCGUUGACAUUCCUAAUAGGCAUGUGAGAGGUAGGCAUGUGAGAGGGAGGAAGUAAAAAAAACCUCUUUAAGCUUUAAUAAAUCUAAAAAAAAUGAGAAAAAGUAAAAAAAAAAAAAAAAAAAAAGUCCCACUCCUUCUCAAAUUAAGGGGGUGGGUACAUGUAGGAUUUAAUAAUGGAGAUUAAUGUAUAGAUAUAGAUAUAGAUAUAGAUAUAGAUAUAGAUAGGUAUAGAUGUGAGAGGAGAGAGAGAGGAGAGAGAAGAAAAUCCAAAAUCAUUGGCUCAUUGCUAUGUAAGAGAGAUAGAAAGAGGGAAAAAGGACGUGGGCAAGUUAUGUGGUUUCUUACUCCCUCGACGGGAUGUGAGGACAACGGAUCAGAGCGGCAAAAUACUCCUCGAGAUCCGUGAAUUCGAAAUUGUACCGCGCACUGAUGAAUGUAUAAAUACAUCUUGUAUACGCUGAUGAAUAUUUAAAUCUUUUCAUAAAAAGAUUUAAACUCGAUAUAAGUUUUUCUAUAUAUAUAUAUAUACGAACUUAGGUCUCGAGUACCAACCACCAAGCUCUUUGCCAUUUGCUCUAGAACGGUCGGUUAUAUAGAUUAUUUUUUUAUAGAAUAGAUUACAUCUAUCAUAUAUAUUAUAUUUUAAUUUUAUAAUAUUAAUAUUUAAAAUAUUAGUAAAUGUGAUGUACCAAUAGAUCUGUUAAAUAUAAAAAUGUUUAAACACCGUUCUCUAACAGCUUAAGUUUUUAGAGUACAAUGAUUGUUUCACAGGGUAUCGGAGCAGGAGAUUCUAAAAUGGUAUAGCUUAAGUUUAAGCUUAAGCUUUUAGAAUAGUUUCGAUCCCAGACGUGAGGGGUAGUGUUAAAUAUAAAAACGUUUAAACACAGUUGUCUAACAGUUUAAGUUUUUAGAGUACAAUUGUAAAAAAAGUAAAUAGUGGUAGAGAAAAACUAUUCUAUGAAUCGGAUGUAAAAGUAAAUUUUAUAUAUUAUUUUUAAAAAUCUAAUUACAAAAAUUUUAAUUCCAUAACUUUUUUAUACAAAGUCUUUUUAUAUGAUUUAGAUUAUAUAUAUUAAAUUAAAUUUUUAUUAAACUAAAUUUGUACAUAAAAAAAUGAAAAAGAGAUUAGUGAAAGAGGUGG
rnacentral:lncRNA from 1 species